UACGAAGGGGGCUAGCGUUGCUCGGAAUCACUGGGCGUAAAGCGCACGUAGGCGGAUUGUUAAGUCAGGGGUGAAAUCCUGGAGCUCAACUCCAGAACUGCCUUUGAUACUGGCGAUCUUGAGUCCGGAAGAGGUGAGUGGAACUCCUAGUGUAGAGGUGGAAUUCGUAGAUAUCGGGAGGAACACCAGUGGCGAAGGCGACUACCUGGCCUGUUCUUGACGCUGAGGCGCGAAAGCUAGGGGAGCAAACGGG
rnacentral:rRNA from 1 species